rnacentral:rRNA from 1 species
CCUACGGGAGGCUGUAGUCGAGAAUCAUUCACAAUGGGGGAAACCCUGAUGGUGCGACGCCGCGUGGGGGAAUGAAGGUCUUCGGAUUGUAAACCCCUGUCAUGUGGGAGCAAAUUAAAAAGAUAGUACCACAAGAGGAAGAGACGGCUAACUCUGUGCCAGCAGCCGCGGUAAUACAGAGGUCUCAAGCGUUGUUCGGAAUCACUGGGCGUAAGGCGUGCGUAGGCUGUUUCGUAAGUCGUGUGUGAAAGGCGCGGGCUCAACCCGCGGACGGCACAUGAUACUGCGAGACUAGAGUAAUGGAGGGGGAACCGGAAUUCUCGGUGUAGCAGUGAAAUGCGUAGAUAUCGAGAGGAACACUCGUGGCGAAGGCGGGUUCCUGGACAUUAACUGACGCUGAGGCACGAAGGCCAGGGGAGCGAAAGGGAUUAGAUACCCCUGUAGUC